AACUCGGCGGUGUAGUGGUAGCACGAGCACCUGGUAUGGAUGAAGCGCGGGUUCGACUCCCGUCUGAGGCCGUA